rnacentral:rRNA from 1 species
UACGUAGGGGGCAAGCGUUGUCCGGAAUCAUUGGGCGUAAAGCGGGCGUAGGCGGCCCUGUAAGUCCGUUGUGAAAGUCAAAGGCUCAACCUUUGAAAGCCGAUGGAUACUGCAGGGCUAGAGUCCGGAAGAGGCGAGUGGAAUUCCUGGUGUAGCGGUGGAAUGCGCAGAUAUCAGGAGGAACACCAAUAGCGAAGGCAGCUCGCUGGGACGGUACUGACGCUAAGGCGCGAAAGCGUGGGGAGCGAACAGG